rnacentral:rRNA from 1 species
UACAGAGGGGGCGAGCGUUGUUCGGAAUUACUGGGCGUAAAGGGCGCGUAGGCGGCCUGUUAAGUCGGACGUGAAAUCCCCGGGCUCAACCCGGGAACUGCGUCCGAUACUGGCAGGCUUGAAUCCGGGAGAGGGAUGUGGAAUUCCAGGUGUAGCGGUGAAAUGCGUAGAUAUCAGGAGGAAUACCGAUGGCGAAGGCAGGUCUCUGGGCUGACACUGACGCUCAUGCACGAAAGCGUGGGGAGCAAACAGG